UGAAGAUGAAGGCUGUGGUGCAGGCAAUAUGGAUACUCUUAGGGUCUAUGAGAAAGAGUGAAAAAUACCACCAAGGGAAUCCAGCCAGGUGGUUAUAAACAAUGAUAAAAUAGACUUUAGAGGAGCAGCUUGCAGCAUGCUUCACUGCCACGAGUCCCAGGACUUUGCUGAAAUUGGCUCUGUUGAGUCUUGAAGGGCAGCUGCUGUUUCUCCUGAUGAAAAGUCUUUCUCAGCUGCAAGCCAGCCCAGCCUGCCUCUACAGAGGGCUCAGUACCUCCUACCCAGAUCAAGGUGACAUGGGAAAGAAAAGGAUGGGAAAACUUCAGGGCUGAAAAAGGAAUGUGUGUGAGGGGUGCUUGUGAAGGAGAACUGGGCUCCUUAAGGCCAGCAGGGAUGUAGGAC